rnacentral:lncRNA from 1 species
GGGAAAAAUACACCUUCUCGAGUUGGCAGGAGGCACACAUCCGGGAGGAAAUGAUGCAAUUAUCUUAGCUGAGGUCACUUGCGCAUGUAUAUAUAGAUAUAUUUAUACCUAUAUAUACACAUGUACACUGGGAUAUCGUGCAGCAUUGCUCUUCCACUGCUUUAACAGUUUGGAUUCUAGUUUGGUGGUGUGCAACAUCAGGAGAUUCCAUCAAGAGAAGCUGUGAUACUUAAAGAGAACAAGAAUGAAGACUGUCAUUGUAACAUUUUGCCUGAUUGGAUCAGUUUUUGCAAACCCGAUUUUACACAACGUGUUGGUUUCAAAUGAGCAGGAUUCCAAUUCAACGGAAAGUCUGUCUGUUUCACAAUCUUCUGAAAACACUUCAGAGCUUCAGAGCUCUGAGGAAGUUGCCUCAACAAACAGUACAGAGUCUGAAUCAUCGGAGUCUGCUUCAGAGGACAAGACCUCAGAGGAGAGUGACAGCCAGUCAGAUGAGGUAAUUGAGAUUGACCCGAUGCUUGAAACUGAAGAUAACAGCAUGGGCAGCGAAGAGAACGUCCGCAAAGUGGUGAGUUGGUGCACACACUUUGCCCCUUUAGCCACUCUGGCGUAUUUAUUCAAACACGAAUGAAUAGAAGAACUGGAGGGAAAAAAAUACAUCCGGCAUUACGUGAUGAGUCCAUAACAUUAAGGCUUGUGGACUAGGCCUCUAGUGGUGAAACAGAGAACUAAAAUAUCUUAAAAAAAUAAUAAUCUGAGUACACUUAUGCAUUAGUCUAAACACUUCCCCUGCUGCAUAAACGCAUAGACGGCAUUGACAGCAGCAGCAGUGACAGUACAGAUCUUGCAGCUGCUUCCAGCAACAGCACUGAGAGCAACAGUAGCGAAAGCCAGGAGAGCGAAGAGACCAGUGACAGCAGUGAUGCUAGCAGGAGUUCAAAGGAAAGUGACGAAAGCGACAGCACAGAGUCUGAGCAGGUCAAACCCAAAGACUGCGUGAAUGGUACACAGAGCUGUGAAAGUGAAGAGUACUUCCUCCAGAGUGUAGGAGAUGAUGCCCAUUUCUCUGUUCACGGUCUGAUGAUGCCAGACGAGGAAAACAGAGAGUUAAGUCUGAGGAGAUGAUUGUUUAUAUGGCUUUAUAAUUUUUCUUUGUGAACUUUUUUUAUUUUCUAAACCUCACCACUAAGUGGGAGCAGCUAUUUUUAAUCAUAUCUAAACAACAGUAUAUUUUGCCUCAUGCAACAUUGAGUAAUUCUUUAGUGACAUGAUUUCUAUUGUAAAAUAAAUAAAAUAUUUUCUUUGUUGUAUUAAAAACUGUUUGGUAAAUAUAUAACAAAGCUGGCAUGUUAUUAAUAAUUGCUUUUUUUUUUUUUAAAAACAUGAAUGCAACUUUGCACAAACCCAAUAAAGAACUGUAGC